CGCACUUGAACGGGCCGACCCAACUACACUGUGAACGACCGGUGGAGCUGUCGCUGUUGUUUUCGGUGUCAUUGUCACUAACCUGUCAAUGUCACCGGCAAUGAUGACCGACAAGCCGCCAAACCUUAAUGAUUAACCUACCACACAUGCGAAUAUGGAGACGGUGGAGCCUGUGAGUAUAGUGAGCGCGCGAUAAGGUCCCCCCAGUGAGAUGCCACAGGCCGCCAUAAUUGACACCCAAUGACUAGAGAAUACCAUUAUAUGUGUAACCUUGAACCCGACCGGUGGAGCUGUCUGUUAUUGUCGCCGACACUGACUGACAAGCCGCCAAAAGAUUUACCCGACCGUAAACACACCGAACGAUAUCAAACAGAGAGAGGGGCAUCACCCCUAACCUGAUACAACUUUUGGCAAUGGAUCUCUUGGUUCUCCCAUCGAUGAAGAACGCAGCGAAACGCGAUAGCUAUUGUGAAUUGCAUAACGUGAAUCAUCGAAAUUUUGAACGCACCUUGCGCUCUUUCGGUCUAAACCUCCGGAGAGCAUACCUGUCUGAGGGCCGCGAGGCCAUUCGAGUGGCGCUUGGACGAAAGUCUUGGAGCACCAGUCGGUUCUGAGGGCUGCCAUUCGCACUGGCUCCCUCGAAAUGCAUUAGCGGCGGCGACAUUUUGGGAUGCACGGCCGGGUACGAACCCCCUCUCCGUAGCGACGAUGAUAAUUAUCAGAAGUCGGUGCGUGAAGGUACUCCCGGACAUGCGAAACCGGUCGCAGACUGCUCAUAAACCUGCCCGGGUGGAGU
rnacentral:rRNA from 1 species